rnacentral:rRNA from 1 species
AUUGAACGCUGGCGGCAGGCUUAACACAUGCAAGUCGAGCGAGCGGCGGACGGGUGAGUAAUGUCUGGGAAACUGCCUGAUGGAGGGGGAUAACUACUGGAAACGGUAGCUAAUACCGCAUACCAUCAGAUGUGCCCAGAUGGGAUUAGCUAGUAGGUGGGGUAAUGGCUCACCUAGGCGACGAUCCCUAGCUGGUCUGAGAGGAUGACCGGCCACACUGCACCUCAGACACGGCCCAGACUCCCCCGGGGGGCAGCAGUGGGGAAUAUUCCACAGUGGGCGCAAGCCUGAUGCAGCCCUCCCGCGUGUGUAAAGAAGGCUUUCGGUUUUAAAAGCACUUUCAGCGGGGAGGCGGUACUCGAAGAAGAAGCACCGGCUAACUCCGUGCCAGCAGCCGCGGUAAUAG